UAGGGAAUCUUCCACAAUGGGCGAAAACCUGAUGGAGCAACGCCGCGUGUGUGAUGAAGGGUUUCGGCUCGUAAAACACUGUUGUAAGAGAAGAAUGACAUUGAGAGUAACUGUUCAAUGUGUGACGGUAUCUUACCAGAAAGGAACGGCUAAAUACGUGCCAG
rnacentral:rRNA from 1 species